UACGUAGGGACCGAGCGUUGUCCGGAAUCAUUGGGCGUAAAGAGCGUGUAGGCGGCUUGCUAAGUCUUGCGUGAAAUCUCGGGGCUCAACCCCGAGCGGUCGUGGGAAACUGGCAGGCUAGAGUGCGGGAGAGGAGAAUGGAAUUCCUGGUGUAGCGGUGAAAUGCGUAGAUAUCUGGAGGAACACCGGUGGCGAAGGCGGCAUCCUGGACCAACACUGACGCUGAGGAGCGAAAGCCAGGGGAGCAAACGGG
rnacentral:rRNA from 1 species